rnacentral:rRNA from 1 species
AGUUGGUGAGGUAACGGCCCACCAAGGCGAUGAUGGGUAUCCGGCCUGCGAGGGUGAUCGGACACAUUGGGACUGAGAUACGGCCCAGACUCCUACGGGAGGCAGCAGCUAAGAAUAUUCCACAAUGGACGAAAGUCUGAUGGAGCGACGCCGCGUGGAUGACGAAGGUCGAAAGGUUGUAAAAUCCUUUUAAACUGGAAGAAUAAUCAUGGUAGGGAAUGACCGUGAGGUGACCGUACAGUUUGAAUAAGCAACGGCUAAUUACGUGCCAGCAGCCGCGGUAACACGUAAGUUGCGAGCGUUGUUCGGAAUUAUUGGGCGUAAAGGGCAUGUAGGCGGUUUUGAAAGCUUGAUGUGAAAUCCCACAGCUUAACUGUGGAACUGCAUUGAGAACUACAAGACUAGAGUUACUGAAGGGAAACUAGAAUUCCAAGUGUAGGGGUGAAAUCUGUAGAUAUUUGGAAGAAUACCAAUGGCGAAGGCAAGUUUCUGGCAGAUAACUGACGCUGAGGUGCGAAGGUGCGGGGAGCAAACAGGAUUAGAUACCCUGGUAGUCCGCACAGUAAACGAUGUACACUAGGUGUUUGACCAUGA